ensembl:lncRNA
CACAAAGCCAGCCCUGUGGUCUAGUGUUUAAGAUCCUGUGCUCUCACCACCGUGACCCGGCUUCCUCUCCUGGUCAGGGAACCAUAUCCCCUGUCUCUCGGUUGUCAUACUGUGGUGGCUGUGUGUUGAUGUCAUGCUGAGAGUUCUGCCACCUGGACUUCAAUACCAGCAGGGUCACCCAUGGAGGACAGGUGUCAGUGGAGCUGCCAGACCAAGACAGACAAGGAAGAAGGGCCUGGCCAGCACUUCUGAAAAAAUUUGCAAUGAAAACCCUGCAAAUAGCAGCAGAGCAUCAUCUGAUAUAGCGCGGGAAGGUGAGAGGAUGCACGGAGGCACUGGGCAGGGCUCCGCUCUGCUGCCCGCAGUUGUUGCUCGGUGCUGUAGAAACAAACACACACACUGUUCAUGCUCGGGAAUCCAUCGUCUAACAAGCGAGCUGCUUAGUCGUUUUUAUUGUACAAGCACGCAGUGAUUCUCACGUGAUGGCGCACGGAUGCCUCUGACCUUCCUUCAGGCGGCUCCCUGGACCUUCUUUCUGACAGGACCCUGAACUUGGCCAGUCCUUUUGUUCGCCGGGCCCAGUGUUGGUGACAAUCUGCUGCACCAGAUUCAGGGGAUCCCUCGGCUUUGGGAUCUGGUCAUGUCCCUCUCAGAGGGUUUCCCUCCACGCCUCGCCCACCCUGGGCUGCACGUCUGCUCCGUCCCUGUGGUAUCGGGAAUUGAGUUACGUGUAAGGCUGAGAGUGGGGUUUCCUUAGACCAGUCCGUGCUCCAGGCUGCCCUCCUCAUGGGAGAUGGGGGCCUGGGGGAUGCUCAGGGGAGGUUCCCUCUGCUCCAGGCUUUCGGGGAUGGACAGCACAGACGGACAGAGCUGUACCAUCGUAGAAGGACAUGAGUGAUUUUCUGACAAGUUCUACAGCAGGAGAAAUACUAAAUGUACAUUCAGGGAGAGCAAAAUCAUUUCGUCAACGUAUUGCUCUCGUGUACUGAAAUUUCAAGCAGUGUUCUUCCUGAUUAGGGUGAAAUUUGGCCGACUUUAAAUGCUAGCAAUUUCUGAUUCAUACAUGCCCUUUCUAUAAAACCCCAUUCAAUAGAGUGCUGUGAAACACAGCUGCGGUGCCUGUGCAGAAAGCUACACUGAAAAUUGCAUUACGGAAGAAAGAAAACACAAAACACCCUCCCAGAGGAAGAGUUCUGUGCUGGCCGGCAGGAAACAGAGUUAGGAGGCGGUGAAUGGUCAGAUCCUUUCAAGUCCCAAAGGGAGGGAUGUUCAGCAGGUAUCCGGGGACCACUACGUGUUGGAUGUGGUGCUGUGUUCCAGAUGCAUCACGGAACAAAACGUGGCUCCUGUCCCCGGGCGCUGAUGGCUUCUGGACGAGAGCUUCGGUCAACUGAGCACCAGGAGGCAGGACCACUGAUAUCCCUUUGUCUCAGUGCUUAUCCCACUGAGAGACACAUGCUGUGAACUUAGUGAAUAUUCGCUCAACAGACAAAUAAGUCAGAGAGGAAAUUUAAGGAAGAGGGUGACAGAUUUCUACCCUAGAAGCAUCUCUUUGCUGCUGAGUGGGACGUGUGUUCAAGAAGUCGAAGGGACAGACAGGAGAAGUUCAAAGCCUGAUAUUCCAGGACUGAGACAAUGAGAAGAGUAACUGUGACAGGGAUGGAGAAAUAAGCUGCCGCCCGCCGAGUGGAAGCCCAGCUCUGGGUCACAGCACAUGGUCUUCACUCCAGAAAGCCACCGAAGGACGUUGGGUCCGUCUGCAGCAUAGCAUGCUGCAAUUUUAAGGUUCGAAGAGUCAUCCACUGUAAGCACUAUGGGAUUGCAGAGGACACGCACUUUCAUUUUACACCUGUAGUUUCUCUAAGGAGACCAGACAUUCCUGCAUCUCUCAUGAUAUGCAAACAUCACUGGAGGGCAUUGCCAAAAAUCGAGAAAAAAAGCUCUGAAUUUUGGGAGAACCAACUCCCAGUAUUUGUGCUUCACUGCGUGUGUAGAAACAGUGGCGGCUUCGGUCUUGGCCAAACAAAGGUGGCAGGUGCUCGCUACUCCCGUCGAGCGUGGCUCAGAAGCACACGGAGGUCUGAGCUCAAAGCUGUCAUGGCAGAGUCGUCACGAACUUGCUGAGACCGAGGGGAAGGGAGCCCCACCUCAGGGUGGGCGGCCCGGGUCAGUGCCCCCCACCCCAGAUGAGCACGGGAUGAUCACAGGAAGGAGGGAGCAUUUCUAAGAUCUAGUCCUGUGCUCAUCACCUCAUGUCUUGUUCACUCGUUACUGAUGUUGGG